ensembl:lncRNA
CUCAGUAGCUCGUUUCUCUGCGUUACCAAGCCGGUCUAGUUUGUUUCUUUCUCGUGAUCCUCGACCCUUGUUUUCUGUCUCGACUACGCUUUCUGCCUAUCCCCGUUUGUAUUGUUCGCCCGAUCGCUUGACCCUUGUUUACCCUACGACUACGUUUCUGGAACUUCCCGAUUCUACGCUCUACCCCCGCCGCCCGCUCCUGCUUCCGUGCCGUUUCGAGAGUUCAGGGAUUCAUUUGGGAACAGGUCAGCAGAGCUUUAGGAGGGAAUGAGGAGGAGAAGAGGCAUUCUGAUGGCAUUUUGGCAUAUGG